rnacentral:misc_RNA from 1 species
GAUGAAGAACGCAGCGAAAUGCGAUAAGUAAUGUGAAUUGCAGAAUUCAGUGAAUCAUCGAAUCUUUGAACGCACCUUGCGCUCCUUGGUAUUCCGAGGAGCAUGCCUGUUUGAGUGUCAUUAAUAUAUCAACCUCUUCAGCUUAUGCUUGUUGAGUGUUGGAUGGUGGGGGUUUGCUGGUGUCUUAUGAAGUCAGCUCCUCUGAAAUGCAUUAGCGGAACAAUUUGUUGACCGUUCAUUGGUGUGAUAAAAAUAUCUACGCUAUUGACGUCAGUCAGUUCAGCUUCUAACAGUCCAUUGACUUGGACAAAUUUUUCAUUAAUGUGACCUCAAAUCAGGUAGGACUACCAGCUGAACUUAAGCAUAUCAAUAAGCGGAGGA